rnacentral:misc_RNA from 1 species
CCUCUCUCCAGAAAGGGGCCACCCACGUAAGGGAGAACAGCUACGGGGGAAGCUCUGGGUAUGGGUCACUUGAGCAGCUUCCCUGGUGGAGCAAGACCAAAACUACCUCCUCAGAUAAAACCUGAGACAGCCAAAGAAAAAAGAGAAAAUAAAAAUUGGAAAAGAAGAAGAGAGCUGAAGAGAGGCAUAAGAUGAGGAUACAAGGGAAGACUCCUCAACUUCCUGUCAGCGAAGAGGAAAGCGCUGUCACUGUCGUCUCCAAAGACAUUGGCAUGAUGAAGAUUUGAGCUUGACAUGUAUUCGACAGGAAAAGGAGUAAAUAUAUGUAAACAAUGCAACUCUGAAUACUGUGUUUCCUGUUAGUCUCCCUUUGUUGAGAUAUAUCCAGAGAUCUUUGAUUUGUGUGUAAAUAAGUUAACUUUCUAGAUUUACAGUUUAACGUACAAUACACCUCAGUCACUUAAGCAAUGAAAAUUUUAAGAAAUACUCUGUCCAGUACACCUUCAUGUACAUAUUGAUGUAUCAACAUUUUAUAACCAAUCAAGUGUCCAAAAAAUUGGCAAUUGUUGAUUCCGUGUAGUGUAUACGUGUACAUAUAGAUGUUGUACAGAUACUGUGGUUCCAAAAAUGUUGAGUGGCAUCAAUUUUUAAAACAGAGAUUUAAAAUUGUGUAAUGAGUUUGUAAGUAGAACUUAUUAGCUAUGAAUUAUGAAAUCAAAAUCAUAAUAAAGAUAGGUUCUUUCACUUAAAAGUUUGGCCAGUAAAUGAUGCUGAUAAAAAAAAAGUAGAUAGCAAGGUUUACGUUUCCCAAAUCAUUAGACUUCACUUGUUUGUUUGAAUGUUUGCUCAAGGAUCAGUCAGCAUCCAAUUUGUUAAUUAGUUUAUCAUAUUAUAAUUGUGCUGCAAUCUUGACUUUAUUUUUUGAUGCAGUAGUAUUUCCUUGUUGUUAGUUCAGUGUAAAAGUUAUCCAUAUAUAUGCAAAUACUAUGUUGAAUCAUUCAACAGCAUUUAGAACGGAUAAAGACAAGGAGUUUACUGUGUAAUGAUUAUUGAUCUGUUUUAAAAUUAGUCCUUUUAAAAAGAAACUUAGAAUAUUCUUUAUAUUGGUUUGUUUUAAAUUGACUGCAAAUGCAUUAUUUGAAUUGCAUGGUUCUUACAAUAGAUACAUAUCUUGUUUUUUUUCUACUUGUAUACUUAAACCAAGACAAUUAUUGAAUAUGUGUCAAAGAUGAAAACCAUUGAACAAUUGUACAAGAUGUAUCUGAAAUCUGGCGUAUUUGUGUUUAAUACCUAAUUAUUAUUCAAGAAAGCACACAAUUUUGUUGUAUUGGAUGCAAAAAUUAAGGUAACAGGAAAUUGGUUUGGUUUAUAUGGUGGUUGUUAAAGAUUGUUGGUGUCUACCAAAAUCUUAACUUGUUUAAGAAGUUCUCAUGCAAACUUUGACACACUACUGAGUAGAUAUUCAUCUGUUAACUAGUUAACAAGCUGGUGUUCAUUGUGUGACUGUGAUCCAAUUCCAUUGUCUUUCAUUGUUAAACACAUAUAAUCAUAUAUGUACCAUGGCAGAUUCAGAUUUUAUAUACAUUUAUAUAAUUAUAUUUACAUCCACUAAGUAUGAUUCCCUCUAUUUCUUAUGAAAAUUGAUUGUAAUUCACAGCUCUAUAGAAACUGACAGAACUGGAUCAAAUCUUCACGAUCCAGCUCUUACCAGUUUAUCAAUCGGUUUAAACCCUCAGCAACCUAUGGAAAUCAGGGACCGCCUGAAAACAUCAUGUUCCCCAAAAAGAUUUUUUUGGCUAUUUUUCUUAUGGAACCUACUGAUCAGAUGUACUAGUACAUUAACAAUACCAGUAAUUUAGUUACUUUGGUGAUUCAUGCGGAAUAUGAAGGUACUAGUGAUCAUUGCAGAAAAAAUACAGUGGGUUUUAUAUUUUUUCUGCAAUGUGGCUACCUUCAUAUCCACACGAAUCACCAAGUAAAGCAUUUCAUUGUUAAAGUAAAUAAUAAUCAAUGCAAUAAUGCUGUUGUAGGAAUUUGGCACUUCUGUGAACCUAGAUGUAAAGAUCAAUUUGUAGAUUGUCUAGUUAAUCACAGGGAUUCGGGUUUUGUGUACCAUUUUUGGACACAUAACUUUUCUGAUUUUCCUUCUUGUUAUGCCAUGAAAAUUAUAUCUUAUACCUUGUUUAGUGUGUUACAUUUUUUUCUUGCAUUAUAUCUUUCAAAAAAAUGUCUCUGCACUUUACUCUUGCUUGCUUUGAAAUCCAUUUCAAUGAUACAGGAUUUUGAUGACUAUAUUAUUAUAUUUGUUUGAUUAUUACAUUUAUAUUUUCAUUAAAAUAAACAGUAUAAAAAACAC